AAUUCUCAACCUUUCUAGCUUUUGCAAGCUGGAUUAGGCUUGGAUUAUGGGAGCUGCUGGCUUUUGAAGUCGGCUCUUCUGAAAUACAUUAGCAAGAUCAUUGCUGCCUUAUCACUGGUAUGAUAAUUAUCUAUACCGUUGAGAGGUGGUGGUUUCCUUUAUUGGAGGGUUUUGCUCCCAACCGUCUUGACUUUUUAAGACAACAUUUGACAA
rnacentral:misc_RNA from 1 species